UCUGCAAGUCACCCUGCAAGGAGCUACAGGAUGUGGUCCAGUUUCUCAGCAGGCAGAGCUGAAGUGCUACUUGAGCGUCAGAUAUAGACUCAGUGUGCCAGGGAAGAAAGGGGAACAUUGGCUGUGUAGUUGCUCAGUUAUCUGGACAGUUCAGGGGCUUUUUGAUGAAUUAUGGGGGAAAUUCUGGUUUGCUUUGAGAUUGUCUUGCUCUUCUCUUUGCUUGACCUACAGUACAUUGGGAAACUUGACUAAUUUUCUGGUUAGACUCAUUAUCAUUCAUGUCUGAUAAAUGCUUGUUUGCUAUGAUUUGACCAACAUAAUUUAGUGUUAAAAUUUUAAUGUGAUUUUAACCUUUUCUUCUAGUUACAAAUGUAAUUGUUUUGAAAAACAGGGUGUGACAUUUUUGCUGUUCUUUCUAUUGCAAUUUAAAAUAUAAUUUUAAUACUUAAUAAUUUUGUUGUAACAUUUUAAGCAUUUAUGUUCUUAUACAGAAGCCUAUUUUGGCUAUAUUUAGUGACUUUGUUUGGUUGCUUGUGACUUAAUUUGGUGCUCUCAUCAGGUCAAAGUUUUAACUUGUUCAAUACAUUGUUUUAUAACCAAAUAAAUGACGUUCCCUUCA